rnacentral:rRNA from 1 species
GUGGGGAAUAUUGGACAAUGGGCGCAAGCCUGAUCCAGCCAUACCGCGUGGGUGAAGAAGGCCUUCGGGUUGUAAAGCCCUUUUGUUGGGAAAGAAAUCCUGUCGGUUAAUACCUGGCGGGGAUGUCGGUACCCAAAGAAUAAGCACCGGCUAACUUCGUGCCAGCAGCCGCGGUAAUACGAAGGGUGCAAGCGUUACUCGGAAUUACUGGGCGUAAAGCGUGCGUAGGUGGUGGUUUAAGUCCGUUGUGAAAGCCCUGGGCUCAACCUGGGAAUUGCAGUGGAUACUGGAUCACUAGAGUGUGGUAGAGGGAUGCGGAAUUUCUGGUGUAGCAGUGAAAUGCGUAGAGAUCAGAAGGAACAUCCGUGGCGAAGGCGGCAUCCUGGGCCAACACUGACACUGAGGCACGAAAGCGUGGGGAGCAAACAGGAUUAGAAACCCUGGUAGUCC